ensembl:lncRNA
UAUAUAUUUCAGAGAAGAUGACAUCAAAGAAGCACAGUGAGGGCAGAAGAUGAUGAGGUAUUUCCUGUGGGAGUUCAUGCUACGGUCUUGGCACUGUGAAAUACUGUCAUUCAGAGCAGUUGAAUCUUUGGUAACCUUGGGAGUUCGUGUUUGACAGACAACUGCUAAGUCUGCGGCAAUGGAUAGCUGGAAAAAGAUGUCCCACGACUGCAGAAAGAUCUCAGAUGUGGAAGAAAAAAAGAAAUACUUCCCUGAUGCUCCGCAUUGCGAUGUUUGAUUAAUGUCGUUAUCCAUGAAGAUUUUCAGCUGAAGUUAUUGUUUUUGUUUCACUUGGCAUCUACAUUUGGGAAAGAGUCAAGGGAGGAAGUGACAAAUCCAUCAGCUUAAGAUGGGAAACCCUGUGGUUUCAGAGCUGCUCAUAUCUCAUUAGGAGCUGCUUUUCCCCUUGGCUCACAUCCUUUCUUGGGAUAGUUUCUCCCCUCACAUCAUUAAAAUAUACCAUCAGAAUGUUUACUCAUCAAAAACUGACUGGAAUAAGCCUAAUCUUGCCCACUAUGUAUACACCACCUUGUUUGCAGAGCACAAAAACCAGCAGUCCUUAAUGGGAUAUGGAGACUUGAGCAUAUGUUAAACAUAACC